GUGGUUCCGAUGUUUACAGCAACAAUGAUGGCGUCUGUGAAUCGAUAGAAGACCCUUUUGGAUAUUGUAUGCUAUCUUUGCCAUUAUUAUUUACGUCUCAAGUUCUCCUGACUACAAUUAGAAGUAAUGAUCUACCUAAUCUGUUACAAGGAUAGAGACAUAGAUCUACACAAGCUCGGAAUUGUAGGUAAGAAAAAAAAAGUUUUGUCCAUUCAUUUUUUUUCUAUCAUUCUUUUUAGUUCUUGAUUAUAUAUUGAGUAAAUAACACUACUGCUAUACAUAUCAUUUGAAUAUUUUCAUAAUAUUUAAUUUAUAUUUUCAUUUUCUUUAUAUCAACAGAUCAAAACAACACAUGCAGUGUACACUGAGCCUUCCUCUUGUUGGAAGAAAACACCACAUACUAGUACCUCGUCAACCAUCUACCCUGUCUGAAAACUGCCUAAAUACUGCAGUACGACAUAGAAGUACUUCAUAAUCAAACACCACAUCACAUGCUGCUUAUCACAUAUAUAGCAAUAAUGUCCACUUUAUAGACCUUGAUCUAUAUCAUGUUAACAACCUGGGUGAUUCUUUUCUCGUUGGAUGCUGUCGUUGACCCCCACCUCCAGCUACAAAGACUUACAUCAUUAUAAAGUUCUACCUAACUUAUUUCAUUACAAGAUUCAUCAUCAAGCACUGCAUGGUUCCUGGUGAACCAAUUUAUCAUCAGCUACUGUUUCAACAUAAAUAAGGACCAGAGUUUUUCUGUCAUUGUAGCUGUACACAUGCAAUGAGCUUCAGUCUCGCCAUGUCACAUUAUAUCAGCAUUUCUUACCGUCUAUAACAUUUAU
rnacentral:sRNA from 1 species